rnacentral:lncRNA from 1 species
UAUAAUAAGAUACAACUUUGUUGCGUUGAGGUGACGACAUAGUGACAAGGUGAGCUUUUGUGAUCACCGUUCGUCCGUCGUCCUUUGGAUAGGGAACUCUGCAAUUGCAGAGCCAUUCUUAGGUGCCCAUUUCUCUUUCAGCUAGAUAGGGAACUAAAUUGUGUAGAUAGGGAAGAUCUCUCAAGUAUAAGGUUAUGUAAGUAUGCAGGCAGAUAAUGCGUCUCCUAUGGAAAGGCAUCUGAAGCCUGUAACUAUGCAGCUGGAUAAUGCGUCUCAUAUUGAAAGGCAUUUGAAACCUGUAACUAUGCAGCCGGAUAAUGCCUCUCCUAUGGAAAGGUAUUUGAAGCCUGUAAGUAUGGUGCUGGAUAAUGCCUCUCCUAUGGAAAACCAUUCGAAGUCUGCUAAAAAAUAAUAUAACUGGUCUUUAGAAUCAAAUGGUUGGUAUCAAGAACAGUAAGUAAUUGCAAGUUGUGAAAGAGGAUCAGGACAUUACAUCGGCAGGCUCACAUUUUGAGGGACAGUGAAAAUUGUUUAAGCUAAAUCUCUUAAGCUACUGAGUGUUAAAUUCUUUUUCUGAAUGAAAAUUGAGUUAUGUCUUUUGCAACCGGAAUUACAGAGAUAAUGUUUUUAUUGCAAUAUUUUUAUGUUUGUGUUGUAUAGAUUUUUUUUCUAUUUUCAGAGGGAUCUGUAGUUGGGAGAGCUGAUAGUUUGUCAUCAGUUUUGUACAUAUUUUAAUGUUAUGACAUGUUUUAAAAUCUGAAUAAAAUGAAUAAAUACCAUUUUUUAUAUACGUUAUGAUUUAAUUGCGUGCGUAGGCGGCAUUGUGGGAACGAGGGCGGGACGCGCGGUUUUUUUUUUUCCAUUGCUGUGGUGGAUUUUUGGAAGGUGUUGAUUUUUGUAGGUUAUUUGUUCGGAGGCAGUUGGUUUUUGUUUGGAGUGGUUGGUUUUUAUAGGUUUUGGAGAUGGUUUGUUUUUGUUCAGAGGUGGGACAUUCGGAUGAUUUCUUUCCAGACAAAGGAAGCUGUGAAUCAGCUGCUGUGAAUUCAGCAAACAAAUGGAUUAGUUUGUGUUUUUAAGUAUGAUAUAAUUAGACAUGUUUGUAAAUUUUACCAUGUUUUUGUGUUACUGCUUUUUAGGUUGCAUGUUGACUGCAACAGACUACUAACACAGGUGUUGGAUGCCACAGCUGACACUGCUCUAAAGAGGGAUCUGUAGUUGGGAGAGCUGAUAGUUUGUUUUCAGUUUUGUACAUAUUUUAAUGUUAUGACAUGUUUUAAAAUCUGAAUAAAAUGAAUAAAUACCAUUUUUAUAUACGUUAUGAUUUAAUUGCGUGCGUAGGCGGCAUUGUGGGAACGAGGGCGGGACGCGCGUUUUUUUUUUUCCAUUGCUGUGGUGGAUUUUUGGAAGGUGUUGAUUUUUGUAGGUUAUUUGUUCAGAGGCAGUUGGUUUUUGUUUGGAGAUGGUUUGUUUUUGUUCAGAGGUUGGACAUUUGGAUGAUUUCUUUUAAAACAAAGGAAGCUGUGAAUUCAGCAAACAAUCAGAUUAGUUUGUGUUUUAAGUAUGAUAUAAUUAGACAUGUUUGUAAAUUUUACCAUGUUUUUGUGUUACUGCUUUUUAGGUUGCAUGUUGACUGCAACAGACUACUAACACAGGUGUUGGAUGCCACAGCUGACACUGCUCUAAAGGUAAUAGACACCUUUUUUACAUACCAUUUAUCCUCUGACAAUUUAAUAAAAAGUGGUAUUAUAAUAUAUAAAACAUUGCAGUUUUAACUUUUUAACAGUGUAAUUUAUGUACAUCUUAAUAUCUAUAAUUCCGGUUGCAGAAGGUGUUUUUUAUUGGUUAUUUCAAUAUUCCUCUUUCUUGCUGUUCCCCAAAAAUGUGAAACCUAGGGUAAGUAUUAGCUCACCUGUCAUAUCGUCACCUCAACGCAACAGUUGUAUCUUAUUAUAAAUUUAUAAUAAGAUACAACUUUGUUGCGUUGAGGUGACGACAUAGUGACAAGGUGAGCUUUUGUGAUCACCGUUCGUCCGAGGUCCUUUGGAUAGGGAACUCUGCAAUUGCAGAGCCAUUCUUAGGUGUCCAUUUCUCUUUUCAGCUAGAUAGGGAACGUAAAUUGUGUAGAUAGGGAAGAUCUCUCAAGUAUAAGGUUAUGUAAGUAUGCAGGCGGAUAAUGCCUCCCUGUGGAAAGGCAUUUGAAUCCUGCUAAAAAAUAAUAUAACUGGUCUUUAGAAUCAAAUGGGUGGUGUCAAGAGCAGUAAGUAAUUGCAAGUUGUGAAAGAGGAUUAGGACAUUACAUUGGACAGGCUCACAUUUUGGCGGACAGUGAAAAUUGUUUAAGCUAAAUCUCUCAAGCUACUGGGUGUUUAAUUCUUUUUCUGAAUGAAAAUUGAGUUAUGUCUAUUGCAACCGGAAUUACAGAGAUAAUGUUUUUAUGUUUGUGUCAUAUAGCUUUUUAUUUUCUCUUUUUAGAGGGAUCUGCAAUUGGGAGAGCUGAUUGUUUUUGUUCAGAGGUGGGGCAUCCGAUGAUUUCUUUUAAGACAAAGGAAGCUGUGAAUUCAGCAAACAAAUAGAUUAGUUUGUGUUUUAAGUAUGAUAUAAUUAGACAUGUUUGUAAAUUUUACCAUGUUUUUGUGUUACUGCUUUUUAGGUUGCAUGUUGACUGCAACAGACUACUAACACAGGUGUUGGAUGCCACAGCUGACACUGCUCUAAAGGUAAUAGACACCUUUUUUACAUACCAUUUAUCCUCUGACAAUUUAAUAAAAAGUGGUAUUAUAAUAUAUAAAACAUUGCAGUUUUAACUUUUUAACAGUGUAAUUUAUGUACAUCUUAAUAUCUAUAAUUCCGGUUGUAGAAGGUGUUUUUUAUUGGUUAUUUCAAUAUUCCUCUUUCUUGCUGUUCCCCCAAAAUGUGAAACCUAGGGUAAGUAUUAGCUCACCUGUCACAUCGUCACCUCAACGCAACAGUUGUAUAUCUUAUUAUAAAUUUAUAAUAAGAUACAACUUUGUUGCGUUGAGGUGACGACAUAGUGACAAGGUGAGCUUUUGUGAUCACCGUUCGUCCGUCGUCCUUUGGAUAGGGAACUCUGCAAUUGCAGAGCCAUUCUUAGGUGUCCAUUUCUCUUUCAGCUAGAUAGGGAACUAAAUUGUGUAGAUAGGGAAGAUCUCUCAAGUAUAAGGUUAUGUAAGUAUGCAGGCGGAUAAUGCCUCUCCUGUGGAAAGGCAUUUGAAUCCUGCUAAAAAUAAUAUAACUGGUCUUUAGAAUCAAAUGGGUGGUGUCAAGAGCAGUAAGUAAUUGCAAGUUGUGAAAGAGGAUUAAGACAUUACUUUGGACAGGCUCACAUUUUGGCGGACAGUGAAAAUUGUUUAAGCUAAAUCUCUUAAGCUACUGGGUGUUUAAUUCUUUUUCUGAAUGAAAAUUGAGUUAUGUCUAUUGCAACCGGAAUUACAGAGAUAAUGUUUUUAUGUUUGUGUCAUAUAGCUUUUUAUUUUCUCUUUUUAGAGGGAUCUGCAAUUGGGAGAGCUGAUUGUUUUUGUUCAGAGGUGGGGCAUCCGAUGAUUCUUUUCAGACAAAUGAAGCUGGGAAUCAGAUUAGUUUGUGUUUUAAUUAUGAUAUAAUUCUACAUGUUUAUAAAUUUUACCAUGUUUUUGUGUUACUGUUUUUUAGGUUGCAUGUUAACUGCAACAGACUACUAACACAGGUGUUGGAUGCCACAGCUGACACUGCUCUAAUGAAAGCUUGGUGCUUCUGAGGGAUCUACCUUCCAGAUUAUGUUUACAUUAGCAAGCUGAUGGUUUGUGUGUGUCUUCUUUUUUUACAGAAAGCUUGAAAUGGGCAUGCGGAUGAUCGGCAUUUGUGUACUUGCUGUCUUACUACUAGAUAUCAAACUAAAUGGCUUAGAUAGGCUUCAGACGUGCAAGGUGAUGGUUUGUACUUCUGUUUUACAGGUAUGUAUAUUUUGAUGUUUUAACAUGUUUUAUAAUAUGAAUUGAGUGUAUAAAUACCAUUUUGUGUUUUUUAUUUUAGUUUUAUGUAUGCUGUUACAAAUUUUUAUUUUGUCUUUUUACACAGAAAGCUUCAACUUGAUGUGUGUGUGUGUUCGGGUGUUUUCAACAAUUUCAGUCAUAUAAACGACGGUUGCAUGUUAACUGCAACAGACUACAAACACAGGUGUUGGAUGCCACAGCUGACACUGCUCUCAACUAGAGAAAUGAAAGUAAUGGACAUCUAAAACUGUGUGUUUGCUCUGCCAAACUGAAGGCAAAGCCUGAUGCUUGUUGUCUUAUUUUAUGGUCAUUAUUAGAAGUGAAGUUCAAGCAUAUGUAACUUUGGACUAUUCUGGCUCAGAAGAAUAUGGGGCUCUUGCCAUCAAACCCAGAAGGAGCAAUGACUGUUAAAAUCAAUACAGAUUUUGCAUUUUGCAAAGGAUGAAGUUGAGGGUUACUGAGGAUGAUGAUGAUAGUUUAAAUGGGAAAUGGUGAUCAAAAGCACACAGUUCACACGAUGAUACUGGAGAGAAUGGAGUGACAAGCAGAUGUAGAAGAAAAAGUCCAGCUGCAAACUUUCCAAGAAGAUACAGUCCAGCAAUCAAUUGUCUUGGAAGAUACAGUAUGGAUGUGGACCUGUAGUAACUAAAG